rnacentral:rRNA from 1 species
AGUCGAGGGGUAACAUAGAGUGCUUGCACUCUGAUGACGACCGGCGCACGGGUGAGUAACGCGUAUACAAUCUGCCUCAUACUAGGGCAUAGCCCAGAGAAAUUUGGAUUAACACCCUAUAGUAUCUUUUAGAGUCAUCUCUUUAAGAUUAAAGGUUACGGUAUGAGAUGAGUAUGCGUUCUAUUAGUUAGUAGGUGAGGUAACGGCUCACCUAGACCACGAUAGAUAGGGGCCCUGAGAGGGGGAUCCCCCACACUGGUACUGAGACACGGACCAGACUCCUACGGGAGGCAGCAGUGAGGAAUAUUAGACAAUGGGCGAAAGCCUGAUCUAGCCAUGCCGCGUGCAGGAUGACGGCCCUAUGGGUUGUAAACUGCUUUUAUACAGGAAGAAAAAACUCUACGUGUAGAGUCUUGACGGUACUGUAAGAAUAAGGAUCGGCUAACUCCGUGCCAGCAGCCGCGGUAAUACGGAGGAUCCAAGCGUUAUCCGGAAUUAUUGGGUUUAAAGGGUCCGUAGGUGGACAAUUAAGUCAGAGGUGAAAUCCUGCAGCUCAACUGUAGAAUUGCCUUUGAAACUGGUUGUCUUGAGUCAUUAUGGAGUGGUUAGAAUGUGUAGUGUAGCGGUGAAAUGCACAGAUAUUACACAGAAUACCAAUUGCGAAGGCAGAUCACUAAUAAUGUACUGACACUGAGGGACGAAAGCGUGGGUAGCGAACAGGAUUAGAUACCCUGGUAGUCCACGCCGUAAACGAUGGUCACUAGCUGUUCGGACUUCGGUCUGAGUGGCUAAGCGAAAGUGAUAAGUGACCCACCU